rnacentral:tRNA from 1 species
CUCUCGGUAGCCAAGUUGGUUUAAGGCGCAAGACUUUAAUCUUGAGAUCGGGCGUUCGAUCGCCCCGGGAGA